AUAUUACCGAAGCUGUGGAUUGUCCUUUGGACAAUGGUAGGAGAGCGUUCUAAGGGCGUUGAAGCAUGAUCGUAAGGACAUGUGGAGCGCUUAGAAGUGAGAAUGCCGGUGUGAGUAGCGAAAGACGGGUGAGAAUCCCGUCCACCGAUUGACUAAGGUUUCCAGAGGAAGGCUCGUCCGCUCUGGGUUAGUCGGGUCCUAAGCUGAGGCCGACAGGCGUAGGCGAUGGAUAACAGGUUGAUAUUCCUGUACCACCUAUAAUCGUUUUAAUCGAUGGGGGGACGCAGUAGGAUAGGCGAAGCGUGCGAUUGGAUUGCACGUCUAAGCAGUAAGGCUGAGUAUUAGGCAAAUCCGGUACUCGUUAAGGCUGAGCUGUGAUGGGGAGAAGACAUUGUGUCUUCGAGUCGUUGAUUUCACACUGCCGAGAAAAGCCUCUAGAUAGAAAAUAGGUGCCCGUACCGCAAACCGACACAGGUAGUCAAGAUGAGAAUUCUAAGGUGAGCGAGCGAACUCUCGUUAAGGAACUCGGCAAAAUGACCCCGUAACUUCGGGAGAAGGGGUGCUCUUUAGGGUUAACGCCCAGAAGAGCCGCAGUGAAUAGGCCCAAGCGACUGUUUAUCAAAAACACAGGUCUCUGCUAAACCGUAAGGUGAUGUAUAGGGGCUGACGCCUGCCCGGUGCUGGAAGGUUAAGAGGAGUGGUUAGCUUCUGCGAAGCUACGAAUCGAAGCCCCAGUAAACGGCGGCCGUAACUAUAACGGUCCUAAGGUAGCGAAAUUCCUUGUCGGGUAAGUUCCGACCCGCACGAAAGGCGUAACGAUUUGGGCACUGUCUCAACGAGAGACUCGGUGAAAUCAUAGUACCUGUGAAGAUGCAGGUUACCCGCGACAGGACGGAAAGACCCCGUGGAGCUUUACUGUAGC
rnacentral:rRNA from 1 species